CCUUCCUCCGGGGGAACGGCGGCAGAGAAGGCGGAAGGUCACACGGGUUCUCUGCCGCGUCCCGUCCGGGGCGGGCGCGCUGUCGGCACGGCUCGCGCUUUGUGGCGGGGUGCUGUCCGCUCUCUGACGGCCGCUUCUGGCAGCCCCAGGGCAGUCACAGUAAACCCCCCCCCGCCGGGGUUGUUCCCGAGUAUGGUCGUUUUUUGGUACUUUAUGAACUUUAUGAGACUGUAAGUCGAUUCCUGUUGGGAAUGACAGCCGACCGAGAGGCUUACGCGUAGCCCGGCUGUCUAGCCUUAAUCCCGCUGAUCGCCUUGUGAUCCUGGCAGCUCUUCUCCCUCCCACCACUCGCAAGGCACCAGGAGUCAGGGAGGUGCCCACGUAUGCCAUGGAUGCCAGGUGGGGUCUGGCUGACAUACAGGGCCCUCGAUUCCUCGCAGAAGGGAGUCUCCUGUGGUGAUUACCCUUCUUUCCUUCUUGGUGGAGGAGUCUUGAGGCGUGGAGUCAACCACCUCUCCAUAGACAACCUUCUGGGUGGACCUUCUACAGCACCUGCACUUGUCUUUGGAGAUCCAGAGCCUCAAAUCUAUGAUAUGGCAGGGAGCUGCUUCACCAGUCCAUCUCCUGCUCACACUCCCUGACGUUCCUUAAUCUCUCCAGCUCUACCAGCAGGCUGAGCAGGUCAUCCACCUUAUGCAGAUGGUAUUUCUGCCAUCGUGUGAGGGCAGCAGCAGACUCAGGCAAACCCCGCAUCUAAAGACCUGAACAGCCGCAUUUCUGGGUAGCCACGUUCCUUUUAGCAAGAGCUUUCUAGCUAGUGGAGACCACGGCUGGAUGUGUAGGCUGGGAGGCAGCAGACCGUUGUGCCGAGAGGUGAGCGGUCCUUGCGCGCACUGCCGGGCCGCGCCGUCUGCCCGCGCCUCUCGCGCCGCUCACUGCGCCCCCCAGCGGCCGCUCUUGGAAUUGCAGGAGGUCACCCUGCUGCUCCCAGUCCCGCCGCGUCGGAGCCGCUGCCGAGUGGAAGAGUUUGCCUGGGGCGGUACGCCUAACAAAGCCUGACGUGGGGUCCGAAGGUGAGCUCGGGGAGGGCAGAGAACUCCCGUGGAGCAGAAGGGCAAAAGCGCUCUUCGUCCUGAUUUUCGGUGUGUAUGCAGACUGAAAAUGGCUCAUAACUUUAAAUAAAACAAGAAAUGCUUAACAGAAACAGGACAGUAGCAACCGUUUCCCCAUUUAAAGAUAAAAAAGUAGGAAAAAUAAAAAAUGGGCACAAAAGACAGUCAAAAGAUUUGCCUCUUGAUAAGGUCUGUGGAAACCAGCCAUGCGUUCCCACAACAUGUAUCACUUCUCAUCAGAACGGCGCUGUAGCUUUGUCCUUGACAUCAGUUCAUGGAGCAGGUUGGUUUCCAAAAGGGAAGAUGGUAUUUUGCCAUCCACAUACGUGGCCUGGCAUGGGUCAGCUGGGCCCGGGCUGCAGCCACUCCACCGCAUCCUUCUACUGCAGCAAGUGCCAGAUGCUUGGGCAGGUCCAGCAGCAAAGGGCUCUGCAGCAGCCAAGAACCAGUACUACAGAAUAGUUAAUGCUAAAUGACCUCAGCUGGACUGAGAGCAGGAGCUGGCAGGGGAGGAAAACCACACGGUACAAAACCAGCUCCAGCAAGAUGGGAUUUCACAGCAGAAGUCACACAGCUCCAGCUUUGGAGCAGCUCAGAGAGCUGCAAGGAUAGGUGUGGAAGUUUCUUCCCAGUCAGCUUCCAGCUUUCAAGAGAACGUGCCGCCUCUCUGGUGUGGGAGGAACAGGAGCAUAACCGUUUCCAGGAGGUUCCAAGUCAUGAUCAUCUGUGUUUUUCUGUGAGCCCAGAAAUUCUGCGGUCACGUAAUGACAGCUCUCCUUACUGCUCAGUUACAGGAUCUGAUCCUGGAGGCUUCCAUGGUUCCACCCAGUAUUUAUUCAUCCCCCCACAUGAAUUUUGAGAAUAUCCAUUUCAAAACACUUUGUGUUUUAUGUCCUCCUGUGGCUCUGGCACCCAGGGAUGGCAUCAAUUGCUUGCUCAGGCUGGAUUUUCUGUUUCACCUGUCGGAGCCUUUCAGGCCAGUCUAGAGAAAAAAGAUAUCUGUAAUUAAAAUAAAAUAUUUUUUGUUUCUAGUGAAUGCAGCUUGGGUAGCAGGAAUAGUGUCAGCAGAAGUCUGUACUAAGUGGGUUUAACAAUUACCAUUUCCUUUUAAUGUUUAACUCAUAGCCUAAAGCUGAUUAGUGAUUUGUGUCCUGUACCACUAUGCAAUAAGAUUUACAAAUCCAACCUCCCUUUGCAGGUAUUGUGAACUAUAGUUUUACUCUGGACUGGAAACUUCCAGAGAUCCCUUGAACCCCCUCACUAUUGUCAAGCAUGGUAGAGAGACUAACUUCUGCAGACUGCUGUUACUGUGGCUCUGACCUUCUCCUGGGGCUGUGAGUGUCUCUCAGGGGCUGUUAAGCAGACAGUUUUGCUGGCAGAAUGCAGGUACUAGAGCAGCUCUCACCAGUGCAGGGAUAGUUUUGUCCUGGAGCAUCACUGGAUGCAUCCAUCUUACUAGCUGCAGGAUGCACGAGUGAUAGGACAAGGGCUGAAGGCUGAAUGUGUUUGUUCUGCAAAUUGGGCUGAUGUUGUGAAGACCAUAAAAGGGGGGUAUGUAUCAUGUUUGGCCUCUUGCUGGUAGCCAAGAUUUCAGUGUAUUACAUUUCCCAGAAAUUACAUUAGCUCAGAUCAAAUUUUGUGGUAACUUACAGCAAGGAAAGGUUUCAGUUUCAUUGAUAAUGGCCACCUUCUUUUUAAGAUUUGAUAUAGUAAGUUGUAAGACUACUUCUCUUCAUUGGGAAUGAGAUGGUAGGAACAACUAAAGCUGAAUCCCCUCAGGUCGACCAAGGCAGAGACUUACUCAUCCAGGCACCGCAACUUCCAGGCAACAUGUCAGUCACCAAAGCACAAGGCUGAACCGACGUUGUGCACAAAAAUGCAAAUCACAGAUAUGGCACUGUGAGAGAUCUUCUAAAGCUCAAGUCAACUGAUCAGCCCCAUCCUAAAAUAAGCAGUGGGGGGCUUACAUGU